CCUACGGGUCGCACCAGUGGGGAAUAUUGCACAAUGGGCGAAAGCCUGAUGCAGCGACGCCGCGUGAGGGAUGACGGCCUUCGGGUUGUAAACCUCUUUCAGCAGGGAAGAAGCGAAAGUGACGGUACCUGCAGAAGAAGUGCCGGCUAACUACGUGCCAGCAGCCGCGGUAAUACGUAGGGCGCGAGCGUUGUCCGGAAUUAUUGGGCGUAAAGAGCUCGUAGGCGGCUUGUCACGUCGGUUGUGAAAGCCCGGGGCUUAACCCCGGGUCUGCAGUCGAUACGGGCAGGCUAGAGUUCGGUAGGGGAGAUCGGAACUCCUGGUGUAGCGGUGAAAUACGCAGAUAUCAGGAGGAACACCGGUGGCGAAGGCGGAUCUCUGGGCCGAUACUGACGCUGAGGAGCGAAAGCGUGGGGAGCGAACAGGAUUAGAUACCCGUGUAGUC
rnacentral:rRNA from 1 species